GUAUUAAAGGCAACGCUGCCCAGUGAAAAAUUUAACGGCCGCGGUACCCUAACCGUGCAAAGGUAGCAUAAUCAUUUGUCUAUUAAUUGUAGACCAGUAUGAAAGGCAAAAUGAGAGCCCAACUGUCUCUUAUAAUAAAUCAAUUAAACUGAUCUCCUAGUACAAAAGCUAGAAUACUAAUAUAAGACCAGAAGACCCUGUGAAGCUUUAACUAACCUAUUAAACCUAGUAAUAACUACUUUCGGUUGGGGCGACCUUGGAAUAAAAAAGAACUUCCAACAUAUGAAUUCUCAUAAAAUUAGGCAAACAAGCCAACACCAGACCCAGCACAGCUGACAAUUGAAACAAGUUACUCCAGGGAUAACAGCGCUAUCUUCUUCAAGAGCCCAUAUCAAAAAGAAGGUUUACGACCUCGAUGUUGGAUCAGGACAUCCAAGUAAUGCAGCCGUUACUAAAGGUUCGUUUGUUCAACGAUUAACAGUCCUACGUGAUCUGAG
rnacentral:rRNA from 1 species